rnacentral:rRNA from 1 species
CCUACGGGGCGCAGCAGUCGAGAAUCAUUCACAAUGGGGGAAACCCUGAUGGUGCGACGCCGCGUGGGGGAAUGAAGGUCUUCGGAUUGUAAACCCCUGUCAUGUGGGAGCAAAUUAAAAAGAUAGUACCACAAGAGGAAGAGACGGCUAACUCUGUGCCAGCAGCCGCGGUAAUACCGAGGUCUCAAGCGUUGUUCGGAAUCACUGGGCGUAAAGCGUGCGUAGGCUGUUUCGUAAGUCGUGUGUGAAAGGCGCGGGCUCAACCCGCGGACGGCACAUGAUACUGCGAGACUAGAGUAAUGGAGGGGGAACCGGAAGUCUCGGUGUAGCAGUGAAAUGCGUAGAUAUCGAGAGGAACACUCGUGGCGAAGGCGGGUUCCUGGACAUUAACUGACGCUGAGGCACGAAGGCCAGGGGAGCAAACAGGAUUAGAUACCCCUGUAGUC